CGGGAAGUCUGUGGCGCCGCUGGAGGCGGCGGGUGCUGGUCAGGAGGACGUUGAUCGCACGCGGAGCUUCGCCUUUACUCGUUCAGUCGAAUAAGCCAACGCGGCCGCCUGCUGCGGCUUCACAUCAGCAUGAAGGUACGUCGCGAGUUGGGAGGAGGGCGUAACAUCUCUGGUCGUAGCAUGAACGCUCCAAAGUAGUGCUGGGAAGGGCUGGAUUUCAGAAGAGGGAAAGUGAACCUGUGUCACUCCUCAGGUGUUGCACCUUGGUAAUUUUAAGCUGGUCUUUUUUUAUGUUGCCCCACACUCUCAAAACUCCUCAGUUCCCGAAAGGCUCGUUUCUGCUGCAGGCGCAGUGUGUAACCACGGCUCAGUAAUCCCUGAUCACCGGCCUUGCAGGCACGGCAGGUGCAGCCCAUGGGGACUAGAGCUGUCCUGUGCUUGAUUGUGAGGAGACACAGCUCAGAUGUAGGAAUCCAAAGGCACGUUGUUUUCCCCACAUCACUAAGCCCAACACAGAAGCCCCCAGCGAUGCCAGCAUCUCCCCGUGCUUCCAUCACCUCCUCGCAGGCUGUGGCACAGCAGAGCUCCAAAGACAGAAGAGGAGCAGCAUUCUAGCAGCACACACCUGGGGCUCUGCGGGCAGCAGCCCUUACACUGAGCACAGGGAAGCACUGCGGCUUCACCUGUUUGCCUUAUCAGAAGUCAUUGUUAUCUCAUGGGAUCUGUUUUAAAAUAUCUUAAAUCUCCUUACAAAAAUCCUCAAGAAAAUACACUUUUUAAUGCUGGCUAGGGAUUGCGCCUGCUGGGAGCACUUUCUGUCCAGCUGUUCUCAGUAUUCACUCUGAAGCGUCCUAUCACAGGGGCAGCUGGUGGGCAAUAAGCAGGUAUUCCAUUAGACUCUUAUGUUUAUUCGAGUGCAUGAACUCUUACGGAUUCUCAGUAGGUUAGUAGCAGCUGAAAUGUCAGUAUUAUGUCUGGUACAUUAUAAGUGGGGCAGUUUGGCCUCAGUACUGAAGCCUGGAUGUAUCUCACUUUUAAUGGAGAAAGUCUGACAAAAGUAUUUCCUAUUUUAGGACUGAUCUAUUUUUAAUAAUCCAUGCUUUAUAAUGAAUUCCUGAUCCUUUUUUAUUUCAGUAUCACUUAAAAUCUUGGAGUACAUUACACACCGAUAACACUAUCUGCUCUAAGCUUAACAACACUGGGUGCUCCUGGCAUCUGCUCUAAGCUUAACAGCACUGGGUGCUGUGGAUCUCUCCUAGUGUUACUGCAGCAGAACUACAGUUCCCUAAGUUUGCCAGUACAGCAAGGUUUCUGAUGUCAUAUGCCAGAAUACUCAGUGAGCAUAUGGGCUUUUCCUUACACAGGAAAACUGGAUUGCUUUUGCUUACUAAAGCAAUCCACUAAAAGUCCUUCUAUUCUAGGAGUUUGGAAGCGUAUUUGUGCCUUUCAGAGCUUGAAGUCUCCUUGGAGCAAUGCUUCAGGGUCAUUCCCGUCACUCAGAGGGAACCCACCACAGCACCCACGAAUGCUCUCAGCUCCCCCCAGACUAAAUGUGCAGAGUCAUUGCAUGGUACUCGGCUCCCUGGCAAGUGGGACAUUUCCCUGCUGUUCAAUGAACUGAGUGUAAGCAUAAAUUCUGCCUUUGCACACUUGGUUGCUAUUUAAAGUCACAGUAUCACUCAUCAGGGAAAUUACUUUCCAAAAUGUGCCCCUCUCUAUACAGCAAAGGGAGGAGAUCUACAACAGUGCAGGAAAAAAAGCUGGGGAUGGUGGUGAAGCUUCUGUGGCACAGACACUGAGCUGCCUUUUCAUGGUAUCAAGAUCACUCCUGCCAAGCCUCAAUUCAAGUUAGUUUUCAUUGGGUCUGCUAUUGUAAAAAUGCACUGGAAGGAGUAAUGUGCCCCAAAAAUCUGUUAUCUAACUGGAAGUCCAGCCAUGGUUCACACUGAAAGAAAAAUUAAAAAUCAGCUUUAUUAUUACAAGGCUCUUAAAUUAGAUUAUUUCUGAUCUUAACUGUAGAUACCAACAGGAGGAAGUACUGGCUAGCUACAGAUGAAAUACUUAAAGGAGAAAAAGUCAGUAUUCCCAUUUAGAAAAUUCUAUAGCAGUGGAUAUUGGACACUUGCCAUUUUCAAUACACUUUUCUAUAUUUUUAAUGCUCCCAAUCCAUUCUGUGUGGGAUUUGGGGCUCACCCCCUUCCCCGAGGCAGCAGGGCCAGUGCAGUACUGCUAUGGGGAAGUUUUGUCCUCACAGCACCUCUGUAAGCGUGAGCAGUGGGGCUGCUCCAGCCUAUAGCACGGCGCCGUAUUUUUAGAUCCUCAGCUCACAUUUCAGUGAACAUGAAGUAUCUUUGUGUGUCAACAGACCCAAAAUGUCUCCCAAUGGAGCGUGAAGCAUGUCGACGUAGCAGGGACGUAAUCUGGGCAGUUUGUGGAAGCUUACGUCAUUAAAUCUAUCACUGGAAUGUGUUUGAUGUACAGCAAAUUCAGAUGUUUUUCUUUCCUGGGAAGUCAUAGUGUGUGAGGGAGCUGGGAUGGCAAGGAGGGGAGGGCUGGUACCUGGGCAAGACAUGAAUUAGGGAACUUUCAGUUCAGCUUGUUGAAGGUCUUCGUAAGGCCUGAGCUUGUGCCCAGCCACUGUCCUUCAUCUGUCAGUGAGGAGCCCAUGGGACCAAGCCCUGGCUUUGUGGGCAGCCCAAGCACAGGAGCUGUGGAGGAGGACAGAACGGUGGAGCCUACCUGCAGACUGUCAGCUUUUUGUGUGCUCAGGAAUUGGGAAGCUCCUGGAGGUGCCCUGCUGCGGGGUGCUGCAGGCUCCAGUUAUUGGGGAACCAUUGCACAGGAUCCCAUCUACACUUCUGUGUCAUCACUAAAGCUGUUUUCUUCCUCCCACCUCUCUGUAGAAGGCUUCCCAAAGCUCUAUUGCUCCAGUUAAUCCAAGAUCCCCACAGUUUCUGAGUUAAAUUUGCUAGCGAUCUGUUUGUCCAUUAAUUAUUGUCAGCUGUUCUUUAAAUUAGUAAUUUUCCAUCUCCAGUAUACUGAUGGGCAGUGAUAGCAUCACGUCUUGUGUUCAUUUUACAGCAUAAGGUCAAUCUCCAUCUGUAAUACCGCAAUACAGGCUGCCCUGAUGUACUCAUUUCUAGCAUUAAGAAAUAUAUGGAAAGCUCUGACCUAGCCUUAAUUAUACAGCUGUGAUAUCUCCGUAGCAGGCAACACUGGGAGCAAAUAAUUGCCUCAGGAAAGACUUGUGUAUUCUUCAGACUUACGUGGUGUUUGUUUACCACUUUCCAUUAUUAUUUGUGUCCAUUUUUUUGUCUUUUUUCCUCUUUGCUUCUGUUUUGCUUCUUUGGGACAAUUUCAGUUGAUUGCUUGAGGUUUGGUGGGCAGUUAUCUAGCCCUGAUACUUCAAUACCCACAAUGGCUGAAUUAAUAAACACAUGAAAUCUAAUUAUCUAUUAAGCUUGAAGGAAAGCUAUGGAAAUCCUUAGAAAAGGGAAAAUUCUCUUUUCAACAUCUAUUUCACUGCAAAUUCUUGAGAUAACUGCACGGGGGAAAAUGGUCCCAGAGCAACUUUUCAUAGGACACAGAGCAUGGAGCUGGGAUUUUCUGAGAACUGCAGUGUGAUUCAUAUCAGAGCUGACGGCAACACGAUACGGCAGCUACCCUCAGCUCAGGAGAUUGCAAAGCCCAUUUGUGUCUGCAUGUCCCAGAAUAGCACUAUGAACCAUACGUUAGAUGACAUGCAAUGACUAUUUACAGCAGACCAAAGAAUAGCCUGUGACAGAUAUCAGCUAGAGCUUAUUUUAAGCCCAGAUGCGUUUUCCUGAUUAGCUUUUGUUAAUGAAUUGCAAGAUAUGCCACUGUAAACAAAGUCUGAAAACGCUGGAUUUACACUGGGAUGCUCUGUAGUGGCAGAUCUGUGGUUUGCAGGCACUUCUGCUUAGCACAGAGAUAACAGGAAAAAGGAGGGUGUUUAGUCUGCCAGGCAAGGGUUUAUCUGUGAAGUUCCCAAGAGAAAGUUUGUCACCUGGUUAUGGAACUUCAGUGUUUUUCCCAUUUUUGUUAACAUUAUCUUCAAAAGUCUAAGAACUUCUGUUACAUUUUGUUCUUGGAAUAAUUGACAUCUAUUUUAAAAGGGUCAGACAGCAUCUUUAGCAGCACCUUAUUCUCUUUUCAGCUCUCCGUAAUUUAAAUCAUGCUUAUUGUUCAAAAGUCAAGCGCUGAAAAACUGUAGGAAAAACCCAGUGAGGUGUUGUCCCUGCCACUACUUUGCUCUUCCAUCUUGAAGUCGCUUUCCCUACUGCAAAAUAGUCUUCAUCAGAGCACCCCGUGUGGGGCCGUGGAGCUCCCUCACCCCUUGCACCCCUCAGGCAGCUCGGCUGCUCCGGCUGCUCGCUGCUGGCAGCGCACCAGGACCACAGCCCAGCGCGGUCAGCUGCGCGGAGGAGCAGCCGGAGCCGCUCAGCGCCUCGAGGCGUGAGUCCUUCAGUGCCGACCGCCCGGUGACGCCAGUCUGUCGUUGCCCCACAGCCCCGUGCUGGCAGCUUUGCUCGUUUCGAAAAUGAAAGUGAAAAAAAAAAGAGGAAACGCAAUGAUAUUCUGGUUCUUGACUGUGCCUCGAGUAUGUGCUGCGUGAUAUUCUCCGCCCAGAACGGCAGGCUUGUUUUAUUCACUGGCCCUUCCCCAUAAGCUCAAGGACGUCGGAGGUUAAGCACUUCAUUAUUGUUCCGUCAUUAGCACCAUGAUGCAAUUCCCAGCCCACGUACAGCUGCCAAAGCGGUGUCACUGAGCGUGCUGCAAGGAAUUGCAGGCACUCAGAGCUGUCUUUGGGGCAAGAGUCCUUCCUGGUUUAAAUAUUGAGUUUCUCUACCAUGUGUUUUCUGUAUCAUUAAAACAAAGAGCAGAGUUGUAAAUAAAAGAUUGGGAAUUUCGAAA